GCUGGAUUUAACCUCCUGGAAACCUACAUCCUCACUGUAUUCAGGGAGCAACCAUAGUAGGGAAAAGAAGUAAGGAGAAAGAAAGGAAUUUAUCUUUGAAAAUUGAUUGCAGUAGAGAAAGGCAGCUGAAGAGUUAACAGCAUUCCUUCAGCAGGAAACCUACUGCUACAAAC